rnacentral:rRNA from 1 species
GAUGAACGCUGGCGGCGUGCCUAACACAUGCAAGUCGAGCGGACGAACGGGGCUUUUGCCUGGAUUCAGCGGCGGACGGGUGAGUGAUGCACACGAGUCUACCUGGUCUUGAGGGAUGACAUCAGUACGCGAGAGCUGAUACCACAUCCGAUAUGAUGGUGAACGUGGUGGUUCUUCGGACAUAACCCUCUCUGCUGAGCCUAGGAGGGAUUUGCUAGUUGGUUGGGUAAGGGCCUACCAAGGCGACGAUCCGUGACUGGACUGAGAGGAUGAUCGGUCACACUGGAACUGAGACACGGUCCAGACUCCUACGGGAGGCAGCAGUGGGGAAUAUUGGGCAAUGGGCGAAAGCCUGACCCAGCCAGGCCGCGUGUGUGAAGAAGGUCUUCGGAUCGUAAAGCACUGUAAGUUGGGAGGAAGGGCAGUAAGAGAAGACGUGGCUGUAUUGACGGUACCAACAGAAUAAGCACCGGCUAACUACGUG